AGCUUUGAACAGUGGCAGUAUCGUAGCCAAUAAGGUUAAUCCGAGGCACAAUUAUUACUAAUUGCCAACUUUUCCCAAUACCCUGCCAUGACAACUUGGAAAAUAUAUAU